GAUGAACGCUGGCGGCGUGCCUAAUACAUGCAAGUCGAGCGAACAGACGAGGAGCUUGCUCCUCUGACGUUAGCGGCGGACGGGUGAGUAACACGUGGAUAACCUACCUAUAAGACUGGGAUAACUUCGGGAAACCGGAGCUAAUACCGGAUAAUAUAUUGAACCGCAUGGUUCAAUAUUGAAAGACGGUCUUGCUGUCACUUAUAGAUGGAUCCGCGCCGCAUUAGCUAGUUGGUAAGGUAACGGCUUACCAAGGCAACGAUGCGUAGCCGACCUGAGAGGGUGAUCGGCCACACUGGAACUGAGACACGGUCCAGACUCCUACGGGAGGCAGCAGUGGGGAAUCUUCCGCAAUGGGCGAAAGCUUGACGGAGCAACGCCGCGUGAGUGAUGAAGGUCUUCGGAUCGUAAAACUCUGUUAUUAGGGAAGACCAAAUGUGUAAGUAAAUAUGCACGUCUUGACGGUACCUACUCAGAAAGCCACGGCUAACUACGUG
rnacentral:rRNA from 1 species